rnacentral:rRNA from 1 species
GGAGGAAAGCAGGGGAUCGCAAGACCUUGCGCUCUUGGAGCGGCCGAUGCCUGAUUAGCUAGUUGGUGAGGUAAAGGCUUACCAAGGCGACGAUCAGUAGCUGGUCUGAGAGGACGACCAGCCACACUGGGACUGAGACACGGCCCAGACUCCUACGGGAGGCAGCAGUGGGGAAUUUUGGACAAUGGGGGAAACCCUGAUCCAGCCAUGCCGCGUGAGUGAAGAAGGCCUUCGGGUUGUAAAGCUCUUUCAGCCGGAACGAAACGGUCACGGCUAAUACCUGUGACCACUGACGGUACCGGAAGAAGAAGCACCGGCUAACUACGUGCCAGCAGCCGCGGUAAUACGUAGGGUGCAAGCGUUAAUCGGAAUUACUGGGCGUAAAGCGUGCGCAGGCGGUUUUGUAAGUCAGAUGUGAAAUCCCCGGGCUUAACCUGGGAACUGCGUUUGAAACUACCAAAGCUAG